CUCCACUAUUGUCAGAUACAGCAGCAGGACAGAGAAACCAGACACUGGAGCCUGCUCUGCAUUAUCACACUGAUCAGACUGCCUCUCUUCUCCCCCUGUCAGGAUGGUGCAAUGUGAAGUGAUCUUCUAACUGCUCAAGUGUAAAUCUGUAAGGGAUGUCCAAUGCAAUUUUCCAGCAUUCCUAGGGAUAGGACAGUGAUUGGUUAGAUCAGUGUUCCCUUUGGAGUGGGUGUAAAAAGCAUAUGAAAAAGAAACAAGUAAAUAUGAAAGAAAAUCCUAUUUACCUGCUUUUUCAGUCUAUAGAGUGAACCAAUGGCCUCAUUCAAAGCUGAAGCUUUUGAAUGAGACAGUUGUCUCAAAGUGAUGCAUAUCCCUCGAAGCUUGCUUAUUAUCGUUAGAUAACAAUUAUGUGUUUG